UACGGAAGGUGCAAGCGUUGUUCGGAGUGACUGGGCGUAAAGCGCACGUAGGCGGGUCUAUAAGUCGAUUGUGAAAGCCCUGGGCUCAACCUAGGAAUUGCAGUCGAAACUGUAGAUCUUGAAUGCUCGAGAGGUUGGUGGAAUUCCUGGUGUAGGAGUGAAAUCCGUAGAUAUCAGGAGGAACAUCGGAGGCGAAGGCGGCCAACUGGCGAUGCAUUGACGCUAAGGUGCGAAAGCGUGGGUAGCAAACAGG
rnacentral:rRNA from 1 species